ACCUAAAUAGCUUAUUUUAGAGCGUGACAUUGAAGAUGUUGAGGAAGUUGUUUAAUUUUUAGGUA
rnacentral:tRNA from 1 species